GGCGAAGUAGCAAAGUGGUUACUGCGAUUGACUAGAAUGGCGUGCAUUGCAUGGUCAUCCGAUAUCAAUUCCCUUCGGGGGCGUAGGUUCGAAUCCUGCCUUCGUCG
rnacentral:tRNA from 1 species